GCCUUAGGGCUCCCUCUCACCCUGAGAGACCACACAGACUUUGGGGAGGCACCUUGUGGUAGAGUUGCUGGAGCCCAGGAGUUCUGGUCUGUAAUUUUCUGUGCUGAUCAGGUGUCCACACUAAGUUCAGCAACGGUAUGGUGACCUCCUGGGAGCUGGGGACCAGAGGUUGUCUAAGGAGAGGUGAACCCACCCAGGUUAGAAAUGGUCAAAAUUCCCAAGCUGAUCAGUAGUGGGAUUGUGUCUGUAUAAUUUAAAAAUUAAAAAUAAUUUAAGAAAUGAAGGCUGGGGCCAGGCACAGUGGCUCA
rnacentral:sRNA from 1 species